AUCCAGCUGAUGAGUCUCAAAUACGACUAAACGCGUAUCCUGGAU
rnacentral:hammerhead_ribozyme from 1 species